rnacentral:rRNA from 1 species
GAGUUUGAUCAUGGCUCAGAUUGAACGCUGGCGGCAGGCUUAACACAUGCAAGUCGAACGGUAGCAGGAAGAAAGCUUGCUUUUUUUGCUGACGAGUGGCGGACGGGUGAGUAAUGCUUGGGAAUCUGGCUUAUGGAGGGGGAUAACUGUGGGAAACUGCAGCUAAUACCGCGUAUAAUCGAGAGAUGAAAGGGUGGGACCGUAAGGCCACUUGCCAUAAGAUGAGCCCAAGUGGGAUUAGGUAGUUGGUGGGGUAAGGGCCUACCAAGCCUGCGAUCUCUAGCUGGUCUGAGAGGAUGGCCAGCCACACUGGGACUGAGACACGGCCCAGACUCCUACGGGAGGCAGCAGUGGGGAAUAUUGCGCAAUGGGGGGAACCCUGACGCAGCCAUGCCGCGUGAAUGAAGAAGGCCUUCGGGUUGUAAAGUUCUUUCGGUGAUGAGGAAGGGGUAUUAUUGAAUAGAUAAUAUCAUUGCCGUUAAUACAGAAGAGCACC